rnacentral:rRNA from 1 species
ACGCUCGACACCUACGGGAGGCAGCAGGUGGGGAAUAUUGCACAAUGGGGGAAACCCUGAUGCAGCGACGCCGCGUGAGCGAAGAAGUAUUUCGGUAUGUAAAGCUCUAUCAGCAGGGAAGAAACUGACGGUACCUGACUAAGAAGCACCGGCUAAAUACGUGUCAGCAGCCGCGGUAAUCUGAGCGGGCUGGCAAGGC